rnacentral:tRNA from 1 species
GGGGUUGUGGCUCAAUUGGUAGAGUGCUCACCUAGCAUGUGUGAGGCACUGUGUUCGAUCCUCAGCACCACA